CCCUUAGAGUUUGAUCAUGGCUCAGGAUGAACGCUAGCGGCAGGCCUAACACAUGCAAGUCGAACGGUAACAGGGAAAAGCUUGCUUUUCCGCUGACGAGUGGCGCACGGGUGCGUAACGCGUAUACAAUCUACCUUUUGCUGUGGGAUAGCCCAGGGAAACUUGGAUUAAUACCGCAUAGUAUAUAAGAUCGGCAUCGUUUUUAUAUUAAAGGUUACGGCAAAAGAUGAGUAUGCGUCCUAUUAGCUAGAUGGUGUGGUAACGGCACACCAUGGCGACGAUAGGUAGGGGCCCUGAGAGGGGGAUCCCCCACACUGGUACUGAGACACGGACCAGACUCCUACGGGAGGCAGCAGUGAGGAAUAUUGGGCAAUGGAGGCAACUCUGACCCAGCCAUGCCGCGUGCAGGAAGACUGCCCUAUGGGUUGUAAACUGCUUUUAUACGGGAAGAAACACCGCUACGUGUAGCGGCUUGACGGUACCGUAAGAAUAAGGAUCGGCUAACUCCGUGCCAGCAGCCGCGGUAAUACGGAGGAUCCAAGCGUUAUCCGGAAUCAUUGGGUUUAAAGGGUCCGUAGGUGGAUAAUUAAGUCAGAGGUGAAAUCCUGCAGCUCAACUGUAGAAUUGCCUUUGAUACUGGUUGUCUUGAGUCAUUGUGAAGUAGUUAGAAUAUGUAGUGUAGCGGUGAAAUGCAUAGAUAUUACAUAGAAUACCGAUUGCGAAGGCAGAUUACUAACAAUGUACUGACACUGAUGGACGAAAGCGUGGGGAGCGAACAG
rnacentral:rRNA from 1 species